GUGUUCACUUCAGCAGCACGUACACUAAAACUGGAACAAUACAGAGAAGACUAGCCUGGCCCCUGUGUGAGGAUGACUCACAGAUUCGUGACGCACUCCAUAUAUUU
ensembl:snRNA U6 U6 spliceosomal RNA